rnacentral:rRNA from 1 species
UAUGUGAUCGUCUCUCGCAUAUCAAUAAGCGGAGGAAAAGAAACUAACAAGGAUUCCCCUAGUAACGGCGAGUGAAGCGGGAAGAGCUCAAAUUUGAAAUCUUAAAGGGUUUCCCUUUACGAAUUGUAGUUUAAAGAAGUGUUUUCCGUUGAGGUUUUGGUAAAAGUUCUUUGGAAUAGGACAUCAUAGAGGGUGAGAAUCCCGUAUUUGACCUUUACUUUCAACUUUGUGAUACACUUUCAAAGAGUCGGAUUGUUUGGGAAUGCAGUCCAAAAUGGGUGGUAAAUUUCAUCUAAAGCUAAAUAUUGGCGAGAGACCGAUAGCGAACAAGUACCGUGAGGGAAAGAUGAAAAGAACUUUGAAAAGAGAGUUAAACAGUACGUGAAAUUGUCAAAAGGGAAGCGUUUGACACCAGUGUUGUUUUUCUGAAAAUCAAUUAAAGAACUGUUUAUGCUAAGCUGUUUAGACUUUAUCAGCUAUCUGUUUAGUUUUGAGCUUUUCUUUAAUGCACUUUUCAGUUAACAAGUCAACAUCAAUUUCUUUUGCUGUAAAAAAGCUUGAGGAAGGUGGCUUGAGACUCGUCUUAAGUGUUUAUAGCCUCUUGCCUAUGCAGUCGGAGAGAUUGAGGUCUGCAGCGUAGAUCCUUCGGGGCUAAAUGCAUUUGUGCUAAGUUAUAGCAUUUUAUAGACAACUUGUUGACUAUGAUUUGUCUUGUAGCUUACUCGCUUAUGUUAUUUUACCUACGCUUAGGAUGUUGAUAUGCAUGACUGAUAU